GUUAUUAGUUCAGACGAAAAAUAUUAUCGAAAGGAUUUAUUUAAGACAAAGAGUAAAAUACAGAAAAAAAAAAAUUCAUUGAAUAAAGGGAAAACUUCAAAUAUCUUCAUGUGAUUUCGCACUUUUUCACUUUAAUAUUCUGUGGCUGUGGUUUAAAGUGUAUCAAGUUAAUACCUUAUGAUUUCGCACUUUCUCACUUUAGUAUUCUAUGGCUGUGGUUUAAAGUGUAUCAAGUUAGUACCAUGUGGUUUCGCAUUUUUUCACUUUAGUAUCAUGUGGUUUAAAGUGUAUCAAGUUAGUACCAUAUGAUUUCUCACUUUCUCACUUUAGUAUCCUGUGGUUUAAUAUUUCGUUAAAUUAUAUACAAAAAACUUCAAAUGCCCUAUCUAGGUUUAUCGAAUACUCAUUUUAGUACUCUUUAGUUUUAACUUUAUCACUGAUUUAACGAAAAAAAAUUUCGAAAUGGAUAAUAAAAAGGAAAAAAUUGAAACCAUGUGGUACUAACUUGAUACAAAAAUGAAACCACAAAGUACUAACUUAAUACACUUUAAAGCACAGAAUAUUAAAAUAAAAAAAUACGAAAUUAUAAUAUACUAAUUUGAUACAUUUUAAACUACAAGAUAGUAAAGUAAGAAAAUAUGAAAUCACAGCCCUUGAAUAAAAGCAAAAUGAGUAUCAAAAAGAAAAAGAAAAAU
rnacentral:lncRNA from 1 species